rnacentral:sRNA from 1 species
GCUGGGUAUGGUGGUGCAUGUCUGUAAUCCCAGUGACUUGAGAGGCUGAGGCAGGAGGAUCACAAGUUGGAGACCAGCCUCAGCAACUUAGCAAGAACCUGUCUCAG